rnacentral:ncRNA from 1 species
UAACACUGACGGAAAUGUUUUUUUCACAAAUAAAUUUCCUGUGAAGAACGGAAUGGACUCAAGCUAACCACACUUGGUGAUGCUAUGAAUUAUACAAAUAAUAAAAUGACAGG